rnacentral:rRNA from 1 species
GACGAACGCUGGCGGCGUGCUUAACACAUGCAAGUCGAGCGGAAAGGCCCUGCUUUUGUUCGUUGCUCGAUUGCCGAGCGGGUGAGUAACACGUGAGUAUCCUCCCCUUAACUGUGUGAUAACUUCACGAAACUGCGGCGCAUACCGGAGAGGAUCUCCUGCUCCAUGUUGUUGGUUGGUGAGUGUCGGCGGUUGGGGCUGGACUGGCGGGUUAUCAGCUUGUUGGGCUGGUAGGUGCUUACCAAGGGUUUGACGGGUAGCCGGCCUGAGAGGGUGACCGGCCACCUUGGGCCUGCGAUAGGGAGCAGACUCGUAUGGGCGGCAGCAGUGGGGAAUAUUGCACAAUGGGCGGAAGUCUGUGGUAGCAACGUUGCGUGCGGGAUGCUGGCUUUCGGGUGGUAAACCGAUUUGGCAUGUGACGUAGAGUGCGUGACGGUAAUGGGUAAAGAAGCAACGGCUAACUACGUG